rnacentral:lncRNA from 1 species
CCCGAGUGCAAAGGCGGACGCAGACGCAGAAGCCCAUGCGACCUCAGCUCUGUUUUUGCUUCCUGUACGAUUGAGGCCAGGUGUUAUAGCUGGGGCUUUCGGCAAGGGAAUACAUUAAAUACAAAAAUAGGAUUAAAUACAAAAUAGGAUUCUUUUAUGAUAAUUACCCCAAAAGUCAAAUACAAAGGAGUGUAAGAGAUUAACCGCACACUAGAGGCCCA